UACGUAGGGGGCAAGCGUUGUCCGGAAUCAUUGGGCGUAAAGAGCGUGUAGGCGGCCCGAUAAGUCCGCUGUGAAAGUCCAGGGCUCAACCCUGGGAUGCCGGUGGAUACUGUCGGGCUCGAGUCCGGAAGAGGCGAGUGGAAUUCCUGGUGUAGUGGUGAAAUGCGUAGAGAUCCGGAGGAACACCAGCGGCGAAGGCGGCAUCCUGGACUGGUACUGGACGCUCCAUGAGCGAAAGCGUGGGGAGCGAG
rnacentral:rRNA from 1 species